rnacentral:rRNA from 1 species
CCUACGGGAGGCAGCAGUGGGGAAUAUUGCGCAAUGGGCGAAAGCCUGACGCAGCGACGCCGCGUGAGGGAUGAAGGUCUUCGGAUCGUAAACCUCUGUCAGCAGGGAAGAACGGUCACUGUGCUAAUCAGCAGUGAAUUGACGGUACCUGCAAAGGAAGCACCGGCGAACUCCGUGCCAGCAGCCGCGGUAAUACGGAGGGUGCGAGCGUUAAUCGGAAUUACUGGGCGUAAAGCGCUCGUAGGCGGUAUGUCAAGGCAAGGGUGAAAUCCCCGCGCUCAACGUGGGAACUGCCUUUGAAACGGGCAAACUGGAGUGGGUGAGAGGAGAGGGGAAGUCGAGGUGUAGGGGGGAAAUCCGUAGAGAUCGGGAGGAACAGCAGUGGCGAAGGCGACUAUCUGGCACAUAACUGACGCUGAGGAGCGAAAGCGUGGGUAGCAAACUGGAUUAGAUACCCGGGUAGUC